rnacentral:lncRNA from 1 species
CACAGGGCGGGGUCUGAGGUAUGACGGCCUUGUCAAUCAACAAGGAGCUGCCUGUGCGGAACUACUUCAUUCUGACAGGAAUCUCAGAACAGCCUGAUUUGAGAAAGGGGAUUUUAAAAUAGGGAUUAAAAAAAAAACACUGGGUGGAUUUUUAUCAUUAUAGGAUGGAUGUUUACACACACUUCCAACACACAUUUAUGUUCAAACAACAACAAAAGUGAAUUUUGCAUCCGAUGACCCCUUUAAAUAUUUCUGAUGUAGUCUGUUCCUGUAUUUACAGCAUGUUUCUUUAUUUGUUUGUAUUGUGAGUAUUUGCAGCGUGCAUCUGUUUUUUUUUCAGCGCGUUUCUUUAUUUGUUUGUGUUGUGAGCAUUUGCACCACAUUUCUUUGUUUGUAUUGUGAGUAUUUGCAGCGCGUUUCUAUUUUGUUUUCUCAGUGUGUUUCUUUAUUUGUGUUGUGAGCAUUUGCAGAGUGUGUUGUCAAAUUGAUGAAGAUGUUUUCUUAAUUUGUAGGUGUUUUUUCUAUUUGCAUGUGUUAUUUUUCCUUUGCAGUGCAUUGAGCUCUCUCGGCCACCGUAACAUACAGACAGUGAAAAGAGAGAAGGUGCUGGAAUACAGAUCUCAACACUCCUUGAGGGUGCAACUCACUCAUUUUACACUCCAAUAUGAGCACAUCGUUACCAUACAUGACUGCAGCGAAAGAUGAAAGCUCAUUACGCAGCGUGGUGAGGAGAGGCAUGCAGAGGAAGUGGUUGGGGGAAGUAGGGCACAGGGGUGGCUAAUUGGGGUGUGUGAUUACACCGGCUGCUGUUAGCAGGAAUUAGACAACAACAGACCCGGCAGUACAGCUCAUCAUCGCAGAGAGAAGAGAGAAAGGCGAUAUCGCUGAUAUUUCCCUAAUUAUACCAAACACCUUCCCUCUUGCAAUAUCACAUAGCACAACACCAACAUGCGCUCACUGUCUACAGGCACAUGCAAAAAGUAAAACUCAGGCAUUAGGAAACACAACUUUUGAACUACAAUGUGGUCAUAUUUACUGUUGCCUAGGAAAAUUUUGUUGGUAAAAUCCAGUCAUUUCAAUGGGAAUUGAAGGAUUUUGACUUCUGAAGAAUUUACCUAUUUCCCUUUGAGUUUUGACACAAAUUCUCAAUGCUGACUAAUAUCAAGUCUUUUGGUUCAGCAGGGACUCUCUGUGGGUCGAGAUUCUUAAAAAGCAAAACUGAAGAUCCACUACACUUCAGUAUUAUAAAAUGAUCCAUAAAUAUAAGGCUGUUUGAAAAGCAGUUAGGGUUUGUUUCCCAGUCAUCCAAAUAGCUUUAGAUUUUUUAGUCGUCAUUAUUUUAUUUGUGCCACAUCCAGUCCCACUUUCUUUUGCCUGUUAAAUUAUUAAUGAAUGAUUAUUCAGACUACUUUUAUGUGUCAAUUUUCUUACCAAACUAACUUUUAAGAACAUGUUUUUUGAAUACCGCAGAAAGCCCUUUGACUGGUCAGGGUCGAAAUAGCUGAUGAGAAAUAAUAACAACUAGCCCCUCUCACUAAAUUUCUUGCUCUUUAUAAAUAAAAGUUAUCAGUCUCUAUAGUAAAUAGCAGCUGAGAGUAUCAAUAUGUGAUGUCGCCCAGCAAUGAAUG